ACAAUUUGUGGGAGUGGGGGACUGCGUUCGCGCUGUCCCCU
rnacentral:snRNA from 1 species